rnacentral:rRNA from 1 species
GACGAACGCUGGCGGCGUGCUUAACACAUGCAAGUCGAACGAAGUGGCGAACGGGUGAGUAACGCGUAACCAACCUGCUCCUCAGAGGGGGACAACAGUUGGUAACGACUGCUAAUACCGCAUACUGAAGGAGGGGAUUGUGUCUGAUUAGCUGGUUGGAGGGGUAACGGCCCACCAAGGCGAUGAUCAGUAGCCGGUCUGAGAGGAUGGACGGCCACAUUGGGACUGGGACACGGCCCAGACUCCUACGGGAGGCAGCAGUGGGGAAUCUUCCGCAAUGGGCGAAAGUCUGACGGGGCAACGACGAGUGAGUGAUGACGGCCUUCGGGUUGUAAAGCUCUGUUAAUCGGGACGCGGUACCGGAAUAGAAAGCCACGGCUAACUACGUGCCGGCAGCCGCGGUAAUAC